rnacentral:piRNA from 1 species
UCAGAUGUUGAGAAGUAGGUGAAGAUU